rnacentral:lncRNA from 1 species
CACCAUUACACAUCACCAUCAUAGCGGGCUGUGGUGAUAUUUUCCCUACAGCCGGCAGUGGAUCCCCAUGGGGUCUCAUACCAAUCCAGAAUCACAUCGGAUGAUGUAUCAUAGAGAAACGCAUCUCUAGUUCCCAAGUUAUUAUCUGAGUGGGUGACAAUGGCUUUCAGAGGCUGUUAUGUAUGGACCGGGGUGAGAAAUGGGAAAUUCCAGGCUUUAAGCAUUUUCCUAUGCACAGAUUUUUGCCAUUCACCAUCUUUUUCUUUAGAUCACCCAAGGGCACAAGGGUGUUGGCUCAAUUUCCUGUCUGCUUGUGACUUGGUGCUGGGGACAGGCCAUGAUGGGUCCUGAGCAGAGGAAAGCUUGCUCCCUGGAGUUUGAAAAAGAAAGUCAUCAGUAGUCAAAAUACUCUGUUACAUGGGGCUCUGUGCUCGAGAAACUCAUUUGCCCAGGUGGGCCUGCAGCCACGGAGAGGAAAAAGGAGAGGAAAGCAACAGGAUCUAUAAUGGAGAGAGGAAGCAAUUCAGAAAAGGCUGCACAGAAGCUGCUGGAACAUCUUCCUCCUUUUUCCCUUCGGACGUGGUGGACACAGAGUCCUCAUUUGCUUCUCAAGGUGAUGCAAGCUCCCCUGCUCCAUAAAGCCUCAUCUGCCGUCCCUGUCCAGAUUGGCUGUUCUUCCUCUCCACAGCUCUCCUG